rnacentral:rRNA from 1 species
GAUUAACGCUGGCGGCGUGCAUAACACAUGCAAGUCGAACGAUGAAACUUAAAUGAUUUCUUCGGAAUGAACUUAAGUGGAUUAGUGGCGGACGGGUGAGUAACGCGUGAGUAACCUGCCUUACACAAGGGGAUAGCCGUUGGAAACGACGAAUAAUACCCUAUGAAACUAUCACUUCGCAUGAAGCGAUAGUCAAAGUGUUAGCGGUGUAAGAUGGACUUGCGUCUGAUUAGCUAGUUGGUGAGAAAAAAGCCCACCAAGGCAACGAUCAGUAGCCGGCUUGAGAGCGUGUACGGCCACAUUGGGACUGAGACACGGCCCAGACUCCUACGGGAGGCAGCAGUGGGGAAUUAUGCACAAUGGGGGAGACCCUGAUGCAGCGACGCCGCGUGAUUUAGAAGGCCUUCGGGUUGUAAAAAUCUUUUGUAUAGGAAGAAAAUGACAGUACUAUACGAAUAAGGUCCGGCUAAUUACGUG